UGGGGAAUAUUGCACAAUGGGCGCAAGCCUGAUGCAGCCAUGCCGCGUGUGUGAAGAAGGCCUUCGGGUUGUAAAGCACUUUCAGCGGGGAGGAAGGCGAUAAGGUUAAUAACCUCAUCGAUUGACGUUACCCGCAGAAGAAGCACCGGCUAACUCCGUGCCAGCAGCCGCGGUAAUACGGAGGGUGCAAGCGUUAAUCGGAAUUACUGGGCGUAAAGCGCACGCAGGCGGUCUGUCAAGUCGGAUGUGAAAUCCCCGGGCUCAACCUGGGAACUGCAUUCGAAACUGGCAAGCUUGAGUCUCGUAGAGGGGGGUAGAAUUCCAGGUGUAGCGGUGAAAUGCGUAGAGAUCUGGAGGAAUACCGGUGGCGAAGGCGGCCCCCUGGACGAAGACUGACGCUCAGGUGCGAAAGCGUGGGGAGCAAACAGG
rnacentral:rRNA from 1 species